rnacentral:lncRNA from 1 species
AGAGAUGAAUAAGGCUGAAGAAGCAAGUCCCUGGAGAGAAAGGAAGAGAUGAGAGAGACCCCCAAGUUGUGUGAUCACCUCCAGCACACUGGAGACUGAGCCGUUUCACAAGAUCAUUCAUUCUAGGAGAGACCUUGGGAGGAGAAGUCAUGAGGACAGUCAACCAGCUCUUUGAAGAAGUCCACAUGCUGAGAAACUGAGGCCUCCUGCCAACAGCCUUGUGAGUGAAUCAUCUUGGAGGUGGAUCCUCCAGCACCUGUAAAACCUUCAGAUGACCACAGAUCUGGCUGACAUUUUGACCUCAAUGUUAUGAAAAAUCUUGAGGCAGAAGCACCCAGCUAAGCCAAUCCUGUAUUCUUCACCUACAGAAACUAUGAGCUAGUCUUCAAUCUGGUCUGGAGUUCAAGCCCUGCCUCUGGAGUCAUGUCCCACCUCCUACUUCACCAGUACCUGCCCUCUCCUCCUGAUUAGUGUAAGGUUAGCUCAUUUUAGAGUCUAUACCACUGGGAGGGCAGAGGAAAUGUGCCAGAUUCACCAUUUAUUGUUUUGUAAUAUGAGGUAGCUAAAUGCUUUCACUCUACAAUGAAAACUCCUUAGAUUAGUCAAUUAGGAUUCAUCCAUGAACCAAGAAGGUGAGUCUAUUUUUUUUUUGCCUUCUUUUGCAGAAUAACUCUGACAUUAAUGGAGAAGAGGAACAGAAAGUGUGCUAGGACCUGUUAGCACACUUUCUGCUAGCAUAUCAUAUCUGUUUUUUAUAAAAAACACAUUGUCUUACACUUAACAUUUUCAUUUAUAUUAGUUCUAUAAUUCCUCCCCAAAAGAUUAUGAAGGAGGUAUAAUUAGCUCCAUUUUUUGGAUGAAGAAACUGAAUAGAACUUGAGCACAGCCUAAUUUAAUGCUUUUUCCUCUAAUCUACACUGUCCAAAAUGAUAGUCACUAGGCACAUGUGGCUAGUAAGCAUGUGAACUUAUAGCACACUUAAGCACUUGAACUUACAUGUAGCUCAUAAGCACUUGAAUUUACAUGUGGCUAGUAAGC